rnacentral:lncRNA from 1 species
UGGUGCCUCGACUAUUCAUAAUGAGGUCGCUGUAGUUUGACUAUACCAUAACACGAUCUCCUAACCGUAUAGAGCCUUGAGGUGUAUGUUGGCUGCAGUAGACUCACUGUAGGAAUAGUGUGUGUACUAAGAUGAGAUCUAUCAAUCUUGAUCAAUGAGAAGUAGUCCUAUAUAGAUCAUGAGACUGAAUCCUAAAGCUCAUGGCCAUGGCAGUAUAAAAAUAGAAAGAUGUUUCUAACAUAUGAUAAGAAUGAGAUUUGAUGAGUUAUCUUUAACCUAUAUCUUGUUGGGA